UUAACACCUAUAGUUCUCUCAGGCUUUUUUUGAAAAGUUCCUUCGUUUCUAUUUCUAUUCCACUCUAUUUAGCUAUUAUUGUGCGGCACCCCCAAUGGUUCCUUUCCUCUCAGCAUCGCUGUAGCUUGCCUGUACCCAGGACAUGCCCUUGACUGGCACAAACCGUGACAGACAUGCCCUUGACUGGCACAAACCAUGACAGACAAGGCCACCUCCUCAGAAGCGGAACAACCUAUUAUCUUUUGGCAAUGGGAGCUAACUUCACUGUUUUCUUACAAUACCUGGUUUUUCCUAUCUUUGGUUUCCUUUUGAUUAUCUCUCAUCCAUCUCAGCCACUAUUCUCCUCCCCUCCCUUGUGUCUACAACACCCCAUUUUACCAAGUCUCCCAUUUAACCUCCCCAUCCUUUUCUUUCCCUUAAAGUCUCAUAUGAUACUGCAGUCCUCAUUUGUCUUCCCAAAAAAAAAAAAGAAUUUUUUUUUUUUUAAGGAAUCCUUCCUUGACUCCUAAAGACUCCUAAGGAUGCUGAGGCCUCCUCAGCAUGAUUUCCAUAUACUUACUUUCUCUGUUGGACUGCAGACAACUUGAAAGCAGGAACUUUGGCAGUGUUUCCCCAGCACCAGCAUCAUGCCUGGUCCAUAGUAGCUACCAAUAAAAAAGUAAGCAUCAUGAACCCAAAAGUAUCUGAGAAAGGUCUCAAUUAAUUUAAAAAGUUUUUAUUUUGCUAAGGUUAAGGACACACAUGACCCACCCUCAGAAGGUCCGGAGGACAUGUGCCCAAAGUGGUUAAGGCACAGCUUGGUUUUAUACAUUUUAGGGAGAUAUAAGACAUCAAUCAACAUAUGUAAGAUGUACAUUGGUUGGGUCUGGAAAGGCAGGAUAACUCAAAGUGGGGGCUUCCAGGUCAUAGGUAAAUAAGAGACAAAAGAUUGCAUUCUUUUGGGGUUUUGAUCAGCCUUUUACUAAAUACACAAUUUACAUGUGAGAAGGAGGUAGCUCAGGUGAACAGAGGGAUGACUUUGAGUUCUGUGUAUCCUUUGUCCCACACUUGUGAAGAUCAGCACCAUUGUGAUGCAUGGAGGGGUGUUUCUCAUUUUAAAGACGUAUUUGAGCAUGUCUUUGGCAGCUCACUCUGCCAGAUAAGGUGUCCUCUUUCCAUGAAUGACAGAAGAUGGGUAACUCUGUUCUGCCAUUGCCCCAAGCGGUUUUCACAAUCUGCCCUUCUCCCCUCUGCCCCCCACCACUAGUAAAAACCCCAAACCAAGUUGCUAGGUUCACCAGAUCUAGGUGAUACUCACCAACAUACAGCUAGGCUUUCAUUCCUCAGGAAAAUUGCAAUUUUGUGGUCUUAUAAUGAUAUAUAUUGGUUUCCAUCCAUGGUUGCGGGCUCCUGAUGUCAGAGGUGUUUGAACCAAAGCAACUCCAUCUUGAAUAGAGGCUGGGUAACAUAAGGCUGAGACCUACUGGGCUGCAUUCUCAGGAGGUUAGGCAUUCUUAGUCACAGGAUGAGAUAGGUUGGCACAAGAUGUCACAAAGACCCUGCUGAUAAAAGAGGUUGUGGUAAAGAAGCCAAACAAAACCCACCAAAACCAAGAUGGUGACGAAAGUGACCUCUGGUCAUCCUCACGCUUAUUAUAUGCUAAUUAUAAUGCAUAUAAUUAGCAUAUAAUAUGCAUAUGUUAACAUGCUAACAGACACUCCCUCCAUGACAGUUUACAAAUGCCAAGGCAACGUCAGAAAGUUACCCUAUAGGGUUUAAAAGGGGGAGAAACUCACAGCUCUGGGAAUUGCCUACUCCUUUCCUGGAAAACUCAUGAAUAAUUCACCUCUUGUUUAGCAUAUAAUCAAGAAAUAACUCAGGCCAGGCAUGGUGACUCACGCCUGUAAUCCGAGCACUUUGGGAGGCUGAGGUGGGUGGAUCACCUGAGGUGUCAGGAGUUCCAGACCAGACUGGCCAACAUGGUGAAACCCCAUCUGUACUAAAAAUACAAAAUUAGUCAGGCAUAGUGGCAUGCGCCUAUAAUCCCAGCUACUCAGGUGGCUGAGACGAGAAUCGCUUUGAACCCGGGAGGUGGAGGUUGCAGUGAGCCGAGAUUGCACCAUUGCACUCCAGCCUGGGCAACACAGCGAGACUGUCACAAACAAACAAACAAACAAACAACAACAACAACAAAACUGUAAGUAUACUCAAUUGAGCAGCCCACGCUGUUGCUCUAUGGAGUAGCCAUUCUUUCAUUCCUUUACUUUCUUAAUAAACUUACUUUCGCUUU
rnacentral:lncRNA from 1 species